AUGAACGCUAGCGGGAGGCCUAACACAUGCAAGUCGAACGGGAUUGAGAGCUUGCUCUCAUGAGAGUGGCGCACGGGUGAGUAACGCGUAUGCAACCUACCUAUAACUGAGGGAUAGCCCAUAGAAAUGUGGAUUAAUACCUCAUAGUUCUUUUGUUCCGCAUGGGAUGAAAGAUAAAGCUCCGGCGGUUAUAGAUGGGCAUGCGUGACAUUAGCUAGUUGGUAAGGUAACGGCUUACCAAGGCUACGAUGUCUAGGGGUUCUGAGAGGAUGAUCCCCCACACUGGUACUGAGACACGGACCAGACUCCUACGGGAGGCAGCAGUGAGGAAUAUUGGUCAAUGGGCGCAAGCCUGAACCAGCCAUCCCGCGUGCAGGAUGAAGGCCCUAUGGGUCGUAAACUGCUUUUAUACACCAAGAAAAACACCCACGUGUGGGUGCCCGACGGUAGUGUAUGAAUAAGCAUCGGCUAACUCCGU
rnacentral:rRNA from 1 species